rnacentral:rRNA from 1 species
GGAGGGGGCAAGCGUUGUUCGGAAUUACUGGGGGCGUAAAGGGGCGCGUAGGCGGGAAGAUCAAGUCAGGGGGUGAAAGGCCUGGGCUCAACCCGGGAACUGCCUUUGAAACUGGGUUUUCUAGAGUACGGGAGAGGAUGGCGGAAUUCCCAGUGUAGAGGUGAAAUUCGUAGAUAUUGGGAAGAACACCGGUGGCGAAGGCGGCCAUCUGGCCCGGUACUGACGCUAAGGCGCGAAAGCGUGGGGAGCAAACAGGAUUAGAUACCCUGGUAGUCCACGCCGUAAACGAUGUGUGCUAGCCGUUGGGGCUUCAGGUCUCGGUGGCGCAGCUAACGCGUUAAGCACACCGCCUGGGGAGUACGGCCGCAAGGUUA